rnacentral:rRNA from 1 species
UACGUAGGGGGCAAGCGUUGUCCGGAAUCAUUGGGCGUAAAGCGCGUGUAGGCGGUUCGAUAAGUCUGCUGUGAAAGUCCAGGGCUCAACCCUGGGAUGCCGGUGGAUACUGUCGGGCUAGAGUACGGAAGAGGCGAGUGGAAUUCCCGGUGUAGCGGUGAAAUGCGCAGAUAUCGGGAGGAACACCAAUUGCGAAGGCAGCUCGCUGGGACGUCACUGACGCUGAGACGCGAAAGCGUGGGGAGCAACAGG